CAAACGCACAAACACAAACACACACAGAGUUCAGGAGCUACGCCCCCUGCUGCUUGCUGCAGCUCUGUCUCUGCUCAGCUCUGUCCCGCCGCCACUCUGUUACAAUAUUCUAUGUCAGCAAAUAAGACCCUCCACAGCGGGCAUUACCAGGGAUUAUGGACUGUUUGGGUAAUGGGGCUGAGAUGAAGUUGAUACAACACAACAAAUUGUAAUUUUUAUUUAUUUUAAAGGCUUUUAAUGCACUGUUAAAAAGAGCUUACUAUCUGAUCUGAUGCUCCGCUAGUAAACUUGUCAGAUCAAAGUUUCUUUAGUAUGCUGUGUACUGUAUCCUGAGCUGUGUUCUCUCUCCUCAGACCCCACCCCGCUGCUGGCAAAGCCUCUUCAUACAGACAGCCUGCACUGGUCCUCCUCAUCCUGUGCUGUCUCUUACUGGCUGCCAUCAUCUCCCUCGCUGUCUAUCAUUUCAGAACUAAAGAAGACCCUGAGAAAUACACCAGCCUGUCCACAAAUUAUUCAUCAAUACUGAAUCAGCUCCAGGACUUGAGCAGUGACUACAGCAACCUCAACAAGAAUCAUUCUGAAUUGAAAAAGAGCAAUACUGAGCUUUCUGUCAAAUCAUCAAUCUUGGAUAAAUACUGUCCUCUCAAAGAAGGCUCUUCAAAGGAGCGGGGUUGUUGUCCAGAGAAGUGGGUGCAGUUCAAUGGAAAGUGCUACUACUUCUCAACUGAUACAAUGGACUGGAACUCCAGCCAGGCUAGCUGUGUGUCAAUGGGAG